GAGACUCUGUGCGCGUGCAUAUCAAUAAGCGGAGGAAAAGAAACUAACAAGGAUUCCCUUAGUAACGGCGAGUGAAGCGGGAAGAGCUCAAAUCUGAAAUCUUCAAGGUUCUACCUUGACGAAUUGUAGUUUAAAGAAGUGUUUUCUGUUAGUGGAGUGGCAAAAGUUCUCUGGAAUAGGACAUCAUAGAGGGUGAGAAUCCCGUAUUUGGUCAUUCCUUCUAUCUUUGUGAUACACUUUCAAAGAGUCGGAUUGUUUGGGAAUGCAGUCCAAAAUGGGUGGUAAAUUUCAUCUAAAGCUAAAUAUUGGCGAGAGACCGAUAGCGAACAAGUACCGUGAGGGAAAGAUGAAAAGAACUUUGAAAAGAGAGUUAAACAGUACGUGAAAUUGUCAAAAGGGAAGCGUUUGACACAAGUGUUGUUUUCUCGAAAAUCAAUUAAACGAUGUUUGAUUUUUGAGGAGUUAUGACUUCAUCGGCUUGCUCCUUUCUUUAUGAAACUUUCUUAAUGCACUUUUCGGUUAACAAGUCAACAUCAAUUUCUUUUGUUGUAAAAGGGUAUGAGGAAGGUGGCUUUCUUUUCGGAGAAAGUGUUUAUAGCCCUUGGCUUCUGCAAUCGGAGAGAUUGAGGUCUGCAGCGUAGAUCCUUCGGGGUUAGAUGCAUUUGUGCUAAGUUAUAGCCUUUCAUAGACAACUUGUUGACUAUGAUCAGUCAUGUAGCUUACUCGCUUAUGUCAUUUUACCUACGCUUAGGAUGUUGACAGCAGUAUAGACUGU
rnacentral:rRNA from 1 species